rnacentral:rRNA from 1 species
AUAUCAAUAAGCGGAGGAAAAGAAACCAACAGGGAUUGCCCUAGUAACGGCGAGUGAAGCGGCAACAGCUCAAAUUUGAAAUCUGGCGUCUUUGGCGUCCGAGUUGUAAUUUGCAGAGGGCGCUUUGGCAUUGGCAGCGGUCCAAGUUCCUUGGAACAGGACGUCACAGAGGGUGAGAAUCCCGUACGUGGUCGCUAGCCUUUACCGUGUAAAGCCCCUUCGACGAGUCGAGUUGUUUGGGAAUGCAGCUCUAAAUGGGAGGUAAAUUUCUUCUAAAGCUAAAUACUGGCCAGAGACCGAUAGCGCACAAGUAGAGUGAUCGAAAGAUGAAAAGCACUUUGGAAAGAGAGUUAAAAAGCACGUGAAAUUGUUGAAAGGGAAGCGCUUGCAGCCAGACUUGCCUGUAGUUGCUCAUCCGGGUUUUUACCCGGUGCACUCUUCUACGGGCAGGCCAGCAUCAGUUUGGGCGGUUGGAUAAAGGUCUCUGUCACGUACCUCCUCUCGGGGAGAUCUUAUAGGGGAGACGACAUGCAACCAGCCUGGACUGAGGUCCGCGCAUCUGCUAGGAUGCUGGCGUAAUGGCUGUAAGCGGCCCGUCUUGAAACACGGACCAAGGAGUCUAACAUCUAUGCGAGUGUUUGGGUGUCAAGCCCGAACGCGUAAUGAAAGUGAACGGAGGUGGGAACCUUUCGGGGUGCACCAUCGACCGAUCCUGAUGUCUUCGGAUGGAUUUGAGUAAGAGCAUAGCUGUUGGGACCCGAAAGAUGGUGAACUAUGCUUGAAUAGGGUGAAGCCAGAGGAAACUCUGGUGGAGGCUCGCAGCGGUUCUGACGUGCAAAUCGAUCGUCAAAUUUGGGCAUAGGGGCGAAAGACUAAUCGAACUAUCUAGUAGCUGGUUCCUGCC